UCUGGAUUAAAGGGCUGUACUUGAGUCCCUAUCGUACUUUUCCAGUGCCCACAGAUUAAAAUGAGGAUACACGUACACCCAGUCCUGGCUUGGAACUGCUGGGAAGGCGGGAAGGCACUCAAGAGACUUGCCAGGAACAACUAUUUUCUUCCUUUGCCUAAAUAGAAACUUCAGGGAAUGUGUGGAGUGGUGUGUAAAUUUGCCGGAGGCCAGGAUAGAAAGAUAUGAAGAGCGAUUUAUGAGAGCUGGAAUCCAAGACAUCUGGAGGACACAAAGCUGUGGAAGCUGAUGUUGUAGAUGUAAGGUGAGGUGGAGAUUCAGCUCUCUGGAUGUGGUAGAUGACCAGGCUGAGUCUGAAGAAGGAAUCAAGUGUGUUAUCAGUCUCGGGCCUAUAAGAGAUCUAAGCCUCUAGUGAUGAAGCAUCCACAACUUCUGGACACAACUUCCAUUCCGC